rnacentral:lncRNA from 1 species
UUUUUUUUUUUUUUAAUUAUUUUUUUUUUAUUAGAUACUUACAGACCUACUUUUAAAAAACAUGUCCUGGAAAUAAAAAGGCAAGUUUUGUUUUGAGAGUUUUUUGUUUUGGCAGGGGGAGAGGUUGGUUUGGUGAUGUUGUUACACUCUGAGACUAAGAACCAACUAGUCUUUGCUUGAAAUGGGUGUAAUUGAGGUACCAUAUUUAGCAAAUAGAAAUGCAAGGUGCCCAGUUAAAUUGGAAUUUCAGAUAAACAAUGAAGCAUUUUUUCCCCAUAAGUAUGCUCCAAAUAUUGUGUGGAAUGUACUUAUAGCCAAAAACGAUGUGUUGUUUAUUUGAAAUUGAAAUUUACCUGGGUGUUCUGUACUUUAUGUGGUAACCUUGGUGUAGUACCUUGCCAGAGACAGGGUCUGCUCUGCUCCACCAAGCUCCAGGGAAGUGAAGCCACCAUCCUCUGGCAUCCUGUAGUUUCAACUGACUGCAUCGCACUGUGGCGAGUUUGAAGAGCAUCGGGAGUUAAUAGAAGAGAAAGCAGCUGGUGUGCUCCAGUUUGCCUCCAACUCUUAUUCCCUCGGCCUGCCAGAGAACUGAUCUAGAAACUGAAAUUUCAUUCCUGGUCAGUUCCAGAUCAUCUGUUCUGUGAGCUUUAGUUUACACUGCAGUCUUAGCAUCAGUAAGUGCUACCAGCCUUAAAUUUUUUUUUCCUUUAAAAAAAGUCCACUUGGGGCAGCCCCGGUGGCGCAGCAGUUUAGUGCCGCCUGCAGCCCGGGGCAUGAUCCUGGAGACCCUGGAUCGAGUCCCGCGUUGGGCUCUCUGCAUGGAGCCUGCUUCUCCCUCUGCCUGUGUCUCUGGCUCUCUCUCUCUCUCUCUCUCUCUGUGUCUCUAUGAAUAAAUAAAUAAAAUCUUUAAGAACAAAAAAAAUUAAAAAUUUAAAAAAUUUAAAAAGUCCACUUGGGGGCUCUGCCCCAGGCUGAGGACCCUGUGUCUCUGGCAGCCAAAUGGCUUCUGAGGCGAGUAAGGAGGCAGCUUUUUCCUGGAACAGUUACUGGCACCUCCUCCUCAUUUUCAGAGCUCGUGAAUCGGGAGAAAUUGAGCAACCUUCCCAAAGGGAUGCUCUGCACGGGUGUCUCAGCAACCCAGUGACUGUUUCUGUGCGUAUGUUGUUGGGGCCAGUACCAGCUACUAAGUAGAGUCUGGUUAUACGAAUUUAUACAAUCGGAUCGUGUUAAAGCAGGAAGGGCCCCAGAGAUGUGGCCUCUGCCUCUGAAAUCACGAUGAGACCGAGACACAGGUGUGCAAGACAGGUGCCCUGAGAAACAGGAGGAGCCAGGAUCCUCCCUAAUCCUGGGCCUCCUCCCUCCGACAUGCUGCCCGUCUCUGCCUUGGGUGAUCAGGUUUGUCACUUUGCUGAAUUCUUCUGUUUGCUUUUAAUUGACAUGUAACUGACACACAACGUUCUGUUAGUUUCCAAUAUACAGCAUCGUGUGUUGAUAUUUUUAUACGUUACAAAUGCACAAUGUGAUCACUCUGACGGAUCUGGAUAACUCACUGUCCCCAUCCACGGGUACUACUGUAUUAGUGACUGUGUUCCCUGUGCCGUACGUUAUACCCCCACGACUGACUGAUUUUAUAACCGGAAGGUUGUACUCUUCAUCCCCUUCAGCUGCCCGUCCCACACCCACCCUCCUCCUCUCUGACAACCACUGGUUUGUUCUCUGUGUUUAUGAGUCUGUUUCUGAUUUGUUCUGUUUUUUAGAUUCCACACAGAAGUGAAAUCGUACAGUGAUUGUCUUUGAGUUACAGAGCCUAAUAUCCUCUAGGUCCAUCCAUGUUGUUGCAGAUGGCAGGAUUUCAUUUUUUUUUUUUAAGAUUUUAUUUAUUCAUAAGAAACAGAGAGGCAGAGACACAGGCAGAGGGAGAAGCAGGCCCCAUGUAGGGAGCCCGACGCGGGACUCUGUCCUGGGUCUCCAGGAUCAUGCCCUGGGUCGAAGGCAGACACUCAACCACUGAGCAAUCCAGGCUGCCCUGGAUUUCAUUCUUUUUCUCCAGACCCCAGAUAACACGGACCUUCCACUUCCUCCAGAGGCGAAAUACUAUAAAAUAGUCUCUUGGGGCACCUGGUUGGCUCAGUCGGUUAGGCAUCUGUCUUCAGCUCAGGUUAUGACCCCGGGGUCCUGGGAUCAAGUACUGCAUCGAGCUCCCUGCUUCAUGGGGAUCCUGGUUCUCCCUCUCCCUCUGCCUGCUGCUCCAACCUGCUUGUUUUCUCUCUCUCUAUCUCUCUCUCUCUCUCUGUCAAACUCUUUAAAAAAAGUCUCUUUGAAGAGCAGUUCAGUAAAGAGGGUCAUUAAAACUGUAGACUGGAAAUAAAAGGGAUAAAGUGGAGGUUAUCUGGGAAAAUAUGCUACUUCCUGCUUCAUUAGGAAUUUCCUGAAAGCACGGGCUUUCGGCCAGGGCAAGAGAAUGCAGACUCCUCCCGAAUGGUUUGCGUGCACUUUCACUCAGGUGCUCCCUAGGCUAAGUUUUUCCUUCUCCUUAAAGCUGCGUCCGUGCACCCUGCGUGCCAUGUUUUGUGCUGCACACGUUUUUUCCAGGACCUCCUUUAGUCCUUUGAGCAGCCUUAUGGGAAAGCAUCGUCACCCCUGGUGUUUGGAUGAGAAAACAGACUCAGGGUGAUUGGACUUUGACCCCGCCACUACCAGAUGACAGCUGGGAUCUUGAACUGGAGACCCUGACACCACGUGGUCUCUUCCCUCCAGUCACAGCCAGCUUGUCCUUGUCCUCCCAGGUUAAACAAGACACCUGGAUGUCUCGGGUGGUUCAUUACCGCUCCAGUAGUAGCAGUUGUCCUCAUGGCCUGAGUGUGGUGCUGGCACGUUCUUUUCCUGUGCUUGGUAGUCCUUGGGAAGUCGACUGACAUUCUUAAGCAUUCCAGGUCAUGCUAGCGUUCAGAAUCCUGUGGCACAGUUUAGAGAGUGUCAGGAAGGAGGCUGGCUAAGUAGGGCAGCCAUGCAGCAUGCCACUCGCCCUCCUUGGAAGCUCCAGAAGGAAGCCACGGUCUCUCCCCUCUGAGCUGCUGAUUCACAGCUGGACCCUCAGCCACUCAGGGACCCCUGUCCCCUUUCAGAAUACUGGGUGUUUGAGUGGGGCAUGCGUGUAGGUCAUUUCCAGGCUGUGUGUUUGCUGUCAGAGCCAAGAGUGGCAGGUCCUCCUACCCAGGCUGGUGUUGGUCUGCUCCUGCAGUGGCUUUCUAUGGGCAAGAUGCUGGAGGGAGAGCCAUCAACAAAGGCAGCCCCCGUCUAUGUGGGCUAGUAGGGGAGAAGGUGGUACUUUCGGGACGGCGUGAGGUGGGCAUGCUGCAGAGCAACUGCUGGUGAGCUGAAGCCUGGAGAUGAUGAGCCUUCCCUGAGACCCUGAGCUGGAGAGCAGGGAGUGGAGGGGAAGAGAGGGUCCUGACAAAGAAUCUGGUCAGAGCUGGAAGUUAAGACCCGCAGGGAUAGAGCUGGAAGGUCAGAGUCUGCCGAGGUGCACUGAGCCACAGAAGCACAAGAGGUCAGGUUCCAAGGUGAAGCAGUGAUUCUGGAACGUUCCCUUGAAACGAUGCAUCUUCCUUGGAUUUGUUACCUUGACUACUUGUGGUUCACUUUGGACAAGAAUGAGCUUCCAGAAGCACUUUGUUUUUCACAUGGGGUGGGCUCAGGAGGGAGAUGGAGAGUGAGAUGGAGGUUGGGGCUCCAAGAAGCUAGUCUCAGGUGUGUCUUGGAAGCCGUUUCCUGGAGACGUUGACAAGUCAAGGAAGCAUUUGGCAAGUGUCUAAAUCGGAAAUGACUAAGCCCUGUACCGUGGAAUGUCAGUAAGGAAGGACCGUUAAGCACAAGUGAGCUGCUUAGGUUUUUGCCAAAAAAACACAUUCGUGUUGAUUGAAGUGAAAUAUUUGAUUGACGGGUUAGGAGGAUUGAAAGCAUGAACUGUGCUUCCCUACUUACAGUGGAGUCAUUGUCUCCCCUGAUGCAGCUGGGGGUACCUGCCAGUACACCAGAGAGACUUUCAGCAAGAGCUCGAUAGAACCCGUAUUACUUUACAUUCCUUACAACUCCGUGAGGCAAGUAUUAUACCCAUUCUGCAGAUGGGACACCCAGGGCCUAGAGAAAAUAAGUGACUUGGCCAAGGCUACAGUGGGAGGAAUUAAUUGGAUUGGUGAUUUGAAUGAAAGUCCACUUUGGGCUCACAGCAUCCUGCCACAGGUGGGUGCUUACAGUCCUUGAAGAAUAGACCAUUCUCCGAUGGGCAGCUUCCAAGCGAUGUACUGCCCUGGACCCUUCUUACACCACACCUGGACCACAGAUCCAGGCUUCUUUAUCAUUGUAAGAAGGGAGAGCAUGGAUCUGGGACUUCUUGGAGCUGGGGGUAGUGUGUUUUUUAAUCUCAGGUCUUCAAAGAGAAGUCAUGCGAACGACAAUAAAAACGUCCGUGUACCCUGGAGACCAGGCCUCCUUUCUGCACGUUUUUGCCUCUGCUCUGUAUUUUCCUGAAGAGCUUUUUUUUUUCUCCGUACUCCAGGGGUAUGUUUAUAAAGUGCACACAUGGCAGGAUGCAAAGAUGAAUAAGCAGUGACCCUGACCCCAAGGCCCUCAUAGAUAGGAGAGGUGGAAAUAUUGUGCUAUCUGAAAACAGGCUAUGAUAAACAUAAUCAUUAGGAUUCAAACUAAAUGCUGUGGAAACAACUGGUUUCAUCAGCGCUUGGAACUGGGUGGGGGCAGUUUUCCAGCAGAGAGAGUGUUUAAACAAGCAUGGGAGUGAGUGUGGAGCAUAGGUGGUAGGAGGUGGGAGAGGGCAAAACCACACAGCAUGUUUCUGGAGCACCUGGGGUCAGGCAGGUACGGUCUGGUGGUGGCGCGGGCUUGGCGUGUACGAGAGAUUGGGGGUUCAGGGAGGGUCCAAGUCCCUCUCUGCUGGUGAUGAGACAUUUCGUGAAGGGCUUCUUGAAUUGAAAGGAUCAUUUUGAAGAGCCAAGAACGAGUACUGUGCAUAUUAACUUGCUGUAAAAUGUGCAUCCUAACUGACCAACCCUCGACCCUGUCUGCAUGUUUGUAAGAAAGAAAGGAUUAUACAAAUUCACCACAGAGAGGUACAAAGGGGGUUGAGGGGAGGUUUUCAGAUGCCCCCCAGCAGGCAGACGGUGUGCUUGCCCAGUGCCCCCAGCUGAACUGGGUGUGCUCUGAAAUGCUGCGUGUGGGAGCAUUUUGAAAGUAGAAAUCAUUCCUUUUGUGGUCUGGGCUGUUGCCACGUUUUGCUGGGAGGGCUCAGGGACAGAGAUGAUGACACCUGAGAUUGACCUGGAAUGUCACCUGCCAAGAGCUGCCCUAUCUUCUGUCUCUGGGAGCAGGCCAGAAUGGUGGUAAUGGUGGUGGUAGCUUUCCAAGGCACGUGGGAUCCUUGGUCGUCUUGAAAAAAAUGUAGUGUUAUAAGCAUAGAACUUGGAGUCAGAGACCUACCUAAUGGCCGUGUGUUGCCACGCUCCAGCCACAGGGUCUUGCACACUCUCUUUUCUUCCCUUGGUCUCAGGCUUCAGUCUUUGAAUGGAAAAUGUGGCCAGUGAACCAGCUGGUCUUCAAGGCCCUAGAUCAGGGCUCAUUCCCUGGUUUGCUGAAGGAUUAUAUUCCAUCAGUGAUUCAUGGGGAGAUGGGGAAGGGUUAAAAUAAUUUCUCAGAGGCUUAUUCUUCGCACACUUCUUUUCAUCUUCUUUUUUUUUUUUUUAAUAAAUUUUUAUUUAUUUAUGAUAGUCACACAGAGAGAGAGAGAGAGAGAGAGAGAGAGGCAGAGACACAGGCAGAGGGAGAAGCAGGCUCCAUGUACCGGGAGCCCGACGUGGGAUUCGAUCUCGGGCCUCCAGGAUCGCGCCCUGGGCCAAAGGCAGAGCGCCAAACCGCUGUGCCACCCAGGGAUCCCUUCUUUUCAUCUUCUGAUAAGCAUAGCUGUUGUUUUCAUGGCCUGCCCGUGGGCUCUUGUGGGGCUGUUUAAACAGACUGUGCCUGAACACAAGACAGCAAAGGGUGUGCCAGGGGCCAGCACAGGAUUUGCUGGGCUCAAAUGGCCAACAUACUCUGAGAGCACAGCCUUAAGGCACAUGGACUUCAAACCAAGCGCAGGCACGAGGCACUCUAUUAUUCCACAGGAGGAAAACACGAUAUGGUGGCCAAGAAGUCACUGGGUGGUGGCAGAGUCUUUUUUUUUUUUGGAGAGGUGCACCACGACCCCAAUAAUCAACUCCUAAAUAUAGUGACAACAGCAGUGCCUAAAUAACCCUGCACACCCCCAGGUCCCCCGAGCCCAGCAGGGCGAUCAGCAAAAGAUUCCUGAAGCUAGAGAAGUCUCCACAGUGCUGAGCACCUUUUGGGUGCUGCAGGUGGUGACUGGUGCUACAGAAUUGGUGUCUGUGUGUCGCAUCUGUACCCUUUUCCCCCCUGAACAAGCUAAGCUGUGCCUCCUCUGGGGAAAGAAAUGUGAUUUCAUCCCAUUUCCCAGAGAAGAUCUGCCUGAGAUGAUUCCAUUGUGAGUGGAAAAGACAAGAUGCAUUGUUCAGUGGACAAUGCCAGAA